rnacentral:tRNA from 1 species
GGGAUGUGGCUCUAUGAUAGGGUACUUGCCUAGCAUGCAUGAGUCCCUGGGUUCAAUCCCCAGCAUCACCA